rnacentral:misc_RNA from 1 species
CCGAACGUCCGGGACCAGGACGCAAAACAUGCCAUGCGGAUUAGUUCGCGCCCGCAGGUACUUUCGUACUUGCUUGCUCUCUCUUCUCUCUCUCUCUCUCUUUCGUCGUUUCAGGGAUGCUAGGCGGUUGACGCUCGUCUCCGCCGGGCCCCUGGAGGAUCACUCCUUUCUCGUGCCGUCAGUGGACAGGUUUUCGGAACGCAACGGCGCGGGCUCUUGGAGUGCGGGUGCUAUGGGCAUCGGGGCGGUAAAACGCUCGGGUGGACGUGGCGCGCGCACUGUCGGGGCUCGGACCGGGGCGGAUCGCGGAGGCAAGCCAUCUGGCGGGGGGGGGUGGUCUCAGACACAGCAGCAGAACCCCGUGAAACAACAAAUCGUUAUGCGAUGUCGGGCGAGUUGCGUCUCGCCGAGCUCUUCGUGAGCUCGAAACAAAGCGCCACCCACAAACCACACUAAACUCUGAAUCUGAACUCAAAAGGAGGCGCAGCGCCCCGCGCGCGGCGCCUUCUCAACCUUUAACGUU